CACACACACACACACACACACGGCAAGGAUUUGCUUGAAAGCAGCCAGUUCUAGCAUCUGAGACGUAAUGCAGCCUCCUGCGGUGCACCUCCUAGCUAGGAAGCCGCUGGUACGAGCGGGGAUACUGGACAGUUUGUGCGUGAUUUUCUCCAAGCACAAAGCCGACGUCCAACUUUGCUAACUUAGUUGGCUCGCGCCCAGCCGACCCCCGAAGCACAGUCACGGUGAAAACGUUUUGAUACCAGAAAAUCAUUUCCACGGCAGUGCAAGUGUUCGAAAGCACAAAGGCAGACACUGUCGACCCGCGCGCUAGCUAGGAAGUUGCGGUACUCGGGGCGGCGGCGCGGAGCACGCGUCCAGUUCCCAGGUAAUGGCCAUGGGGCUGGCUCUUGAAUCCACAUUGAAUUGGAUGCUCUGAGGAACAUCAACAUUCAAGAGCGGCGUGAGAAGAAACCCAAAAGGCUAAGCCCAUGGAUUCUGAGAAGGAGGAAGAGUCUCAAGAGAAGAUGGUGUCUUGAAGUCUGCAGACACGAAGGAGGCUUUUUGUCUUCUGGUUCCAGAGGUUGAAAUUCACACCAAAGAGCAGGAGCAGGUGCUGGACUGGAUCUGUAAUUCAGCUUCUGCAGCUCCUUAUCUUCCUAAGAUCUCCUCUGCUCCCUUUCAAGCCUCUGACGAGGGCAGCAUGGUGAACAUUUGGGAGAAGAGGAGAAUCAACACCCAGUGAAGAACUUGUUCUGAACAUGUUGCAUUUCCACCCUCCCUGAUGGUUUCAGCAGGGGUUCUCUGGAGCGCACAAUCCCAUAAACAGCAGCAUCUCCAGAGGCUGAAGAUUCUGCCGCUCCAUCCUGUGCAAGGAGAUUGGUUAAGGAAACCGUGACGUUUUCCCGGUGCAGAUGACAGUGUUUCUGAGAAAAUGAUUGUUGUGGAUCUCUUUGGGACGCUUUAACCGAGGCGUUCACAACCCAUUGCUUGUGGCUAAGUUGGGCUUGAAAAUACCACAAUCUGUUGGGGAGGAAAAGCCUCGUGUCUCUAGGUUUUAGGGGGCAAUCUAUAGCAUCAUAACUCAAUCUUAACACAGUUCAAUCUAGCCAGAGAGAUGACGUCUUUGCCUAACACCCAGAAGGACAGAUCAAGUGAAGGAAGGUCAUCCAAGACGCUCCUGUUCUGUGCACGAAAACACAAGUUUACGUCUUUUCCAUUUGGCCAUUUCCAGUUUUCUUUGAGCACAGGAGUUUGUUUAUUUGAUUGUUUUAUAUUCGGGCAGCUAGGGACUGAGAUAUUUCUUUUCUUUUUGUUUCUCCAACUCUUUUUACAAUUUAACAAGUCAAAUACAAAACUCAGGGGAGUUAAUAAGCCUCGUGAUCGGGCGGCGAGUAGCAUCCAUAUUGAUUGGAAACACUGCUUUGGAAGGCGGUGGGAGAGCCCCAAACCAAACUUUCAGAUGCCUGAAGCUUUGAGCUUUCCAAUUAGGCUGAAAGUUUCCCUUGAUAACCAGUAGUGCUGAAGCUUUUAAUAUUGUUUAGCUCUAUGUGUUCUCAGCAACAUUUUUGAGUUAGGAAGGCCAGCAGAUCCCUUGAUGUCAGCAAGGUAGCGAUCCAACCCCCUUACACACUUUCUGAUCCAAUAUGCUCUCUGG